rnacentral:rRNA from 1 species
AUUGAACGCUGGCGGCGUGCUUAACACAUGCAAGUCGAGCGGUAACGCGGGGGCAACCCUGGCGACGAGCGGCGAACGGGUGAGUAAAGCUUCGGAAUCUUCCUAGUAGUGGGGAAUAACCUGGGGAAACUCAGGCUAAUACCGCAUACGAACUACGGUUGAAAGCAGGGGAUCGCAAGACCUUGCGCUAUUAGAUGAGCCGAAGUCGGAUUAGCUAGUUGGUGAGGUAAAGGCUCACCAAGGCGACGAUCCGUAGCUGGUCUGAGAGGACGACCAGCCACACUGGGACUGAGACACGGCCCAGACUCCUACGGGAGGCAGCAGUGGGGAAUAUUGGACAAUGGGGGCAACCCUGAUCCAGCGACGCCGCGUGUGUGAAGAAGGCCUGCGGGUUGUAAAGCACUUUUAGUGGGGAUGAAAAGCCGAGGGCUAAUACCUUUCGGUCUUGACCUAACCCAAAGAAAAAGCACCGGCUAACUCUGUG